CCUCAGCCGCGCAGACCGCCGGUGGAUCUCCUGCUUGCUCUGGGCGGGGGGGGAAAUCACCGAAAAUGGCAGGCGGCGAGUGUUUGCUCUCGGUCCCCGAAGAGAAAGAGUCCCUGCCCCAAGCAGGGCACGUCUCUUGCCUCAGCAAAAACCGCGACAGAGAGCUCGGUGCCCUUACCGUCCCGGCCAGAGCCAGCGGCAGUCAGGGGGGAGACCCGGCUGGUGCAGCAAAGCCCAGAGGCUGCCUCUGGUACCUGCCCGCAUCCCGUUUGCAGGGGACGCUGGACUCCAUCAUCCGAAGAUGUACAGCUGUCAUCCCUCCAGCUCACCAGAAAAUGAGAGGACAGGAGAUGGACUCACAUAGUCGUUCUGAUUCAGGAGAAUAGUGACUGUGAACCUUACCCUCAACGUACGCCAGCUUUGGUCUUCUUUAAGCCAACAGCCCCUUUUGCAUGGACCCUCGGUCAUGUAUCAAAUAAUUUAAAAGGCUAGGGAGUGAACGCAAGUCUUUGUGAAGCUUUGCCAGCUAAAUGUGGAUCUAACAGUGGUUCCUCACCCUGAUGCAACGUCCCCAAGCCAUCCCUUAUAGAUGUUAAGAAAGAAAUGCCUGCUCACAUAUGCAGGUUUACAGCCUCUUAGUUUCCAUACUUGGUUGUGAUCCUUCAUCCUUCGUUUUUAUUUAAACCUUUGGUGCUAAUUAAGUUCGUUUCUUUUUGUCUUGUUCUCAGUGGACACAACGAACAGAUCGUUUUCUUCUUUAAUAAGGUUUUUUACAUAGAGAAAAAUGAUCCUGCUAAAAUGAAAUUAUUAAUUUAUGUAAAAUAGAGGCUAUUUCAUUCACUGGUACUAUGGUAACAAUUGCAAAAUUACUAGAUGUAAUUUGCAGGGAUCUGUUUACAGAUGCCCCACUUGCAUGCAGCGUGCGGGUGGCUGGAGGGUGCAGUUCCUGGUUGUUACUGUCCCUGUGGCUUGCCUGGGCUGGUACUGACUUGUGGGCAGCUGUGCUUAACCUCUUGCACUCUUCUCUUUCACACCAGCUUUGACUUUCUUGUCUCAGGUGCCAAAUUUAUUUCUGCAUUUUGACUUAAAUCCUGUUUUACCUUCAUCGUCUUUCAAACUGUUCAUAGUUCUUGGGUUGUUAUUUUUUAAAUUCUGCUUCUUUAAUCCAUCCCUCUCUAGUUUUAUGUGGUUAUCUGGCAAAUCAGUGAUCUCUCAGAGACCUUUAAACUCUUCCCACUACUUUUCUUGCAGCUUCUGCCUGCUUUACUUCCCAACCACCCUCAGAAGUUCUCCACUGCUGGGGCCCCCUCAGCGCUGUCACCUUGGCAUAGCAUCACUGGUCUGCAGAGAAAUGGCAUGGAAAUGAGUGACGGUGUCCAUUUCUGGCCAGGGGUGUGAAUGAAGACGAUCAGCUGAAAAAGGAUCAUCGCCUGCACCUAGUCUCAUCAGACUGUCACCAAGUUCUAACAGCUCAGAGCUGCUCAAAGCGCCUCUUGGGUUGUCUAUACUUAUGGGAGCA